rnacentral:tRNA from 1 species
AGAUGGGUAGCUUAGUUGGUAAAGCACUUGUCUAGCGAAUAAGGGUCGUGAGUUCAAAUCUCACCUGAGCUG